AUAAUAUCCACUGUAUUUCUUUUCAUCUUCCACGAAACAUAAAUAAGUUUUUUCUAAUGGCUCUUGAGCUAUAAUAUCUAUGUUAGAAAUAAGAACCCCAGAAUGUGGAAUUUAACACUUUUUCAUCUGGAUGUGACAAUCCCUGAUGAAACAUUCCUUCAGCCAUCUGUUCCUCAAUUACAGCUACUGUAUCACAUUGAACAUAUGCUUUAGUUUCAUAAAAUGGACGUUGCUCAGUAAAAAAGCCAGGCUUUCUUGCAUAACAAAUAGUAAUAUCAAACAGAGACUUCCAAUCUUCCCCAAAGGCAUAAGUAGCAGUAAAAUUAACAAAAUCAACAUUUGAUCCAGUGAUGAGAAAAGUAAUACAAUGUUUUUUUAAUUCCUGAAGCCAUUUUAUAGUUCUUUCAUUACAUUUAUGCAUGUAUUUAUGAGGAUUUUGUUUAGCAAAAGAAAUGUGGUCAAUACAAAAGUUUGAGUUACGCCAAUGUUUUCGUGGGCCAUUUCCGUCGAAAUACAUUCGACAUCUGCGUAGAAUAGCAUAAAAACAUAUUGCGAGUAUGUGAAUUGUUGGAAAUACGAAUUUAAAGAAACAGACAUUAGGAUGACUUCAACAUUUUCAGCUAUCAAGACGCCUGCAAGAAGGGAAUUUUUGUACACCAUGUUUAAUAAAGUGUAGAAUGCUUCAAGAUGACAAUUGACUUAUUCUCGUAUUACACAUCUGCGAUCCAUAGUGAGCCUGAUAUUGGUUUGUAUAUAGACGUACGUAGCCAUCGUUGCAGAAAUUAGGUUACCUUCCAACGGAUAUACAAAGGGGCCCUACAAAUUGGUCCAUAUCCUACAUGCUUUCAAAAUAAGUCACCAUAAACGUUCCAAUUUCGAUCUGAUAAAAAUUCUGAUGAAUGUAACGAGAUUAAAAUGAACGAGCUGGUCAUCAAUUACGGAAAAUGUAACAGCAAAUUCCAUUGUGGUUUCAACAAUUCGUUCCGCGAAUUCGAUAAUCAGAAAUCCUAUAAUAACGCGACGAUAAAUCUUGCGUAUAUUUUCAAAUGACCAUUUUGCACGAUUCUGUAUAUUGGUCAAGGCUGCAGAGUUCUUGAUGAACAUUUCAACGAAGCGAAAACGAUACGCAUCUUCACUGGACGUGAUUUAUUCUUCAGCUUGGCAAUGGAGAACAAAUUAACAUGUUGCUUUUGAUUCGACGGAACCAGGUCUUCCAAAUAGCACGUGCAUACAAUAGGUACGCCUACAA